rnacentral:rRNA from 1 species
CCUACGGGUGGCAGCAGUGGGGAAUAUUGCACAAUGGGGGGAACCCUGAUGCAGCGACGCCGCGUGGGUGAAGGAGUCUUUCGGUAUGUAAAGCCCUAUCAGCAGGGAAGAACAAUGCCGGUACCUGACUAAGAAGCACCGGCUAAAUACGUGCCAGCAGCCGCGGUAAUACGGAGGAUGCGAGCUUUAUCCGGAUUUAUUGGGUUUAAAGGGUGCGUAGGCGGACUGUUAAGUCAGCGGUAAACGCCCGGGGCUCAACCCCGGCGAGCCGUUGAAACUGGCUGUCUUGAGAGGUCGAGAGGUAUGCGGAAUGCGCAGUGUAGCGGUGAAAUGCUUAGAUAUUGCGCAGAACUCCGAUUGCGAAGGCAGCAUACCGGCGGCGAUCUGACGCUGAGGCACGAAAGCGUGGGUAUCGAACAGGAUUAGAUACCCUUGUAGUC